rnacentral:lncRNA from 1 species
UGUCUCUGUUUUCCUUGUAGUUGUUGUCCAACCAUCUCCUGACCUUCAACCCUGCAUCGCCUCACCAACCCAAAGGCACUUUUUUCUAUUUUUCUGUCCAUCCACCUGACUGUCUGUCUGUCUGUCUUAAUAUUCAGUCUUAAUCACUAUCCUGUAUCGUGUCUGUCAUAAUGCCGGGAGGGUCUACGAAGAAGACGUGUCCCUUCUGCCAGGGGAUUUUAUAUUGUGCACAGAAGGUGUGCUCUCACUGCAACAAGGUGCAGCCAGUGAAGCAGCGCCUCAGAAAAAAGCUCGAGAAGUUUGAUGAGCGUCGGGAAAAAUGGGCGGUUGGUCGUAUAAAGCACAGAAACGUAGCGUGCAUCAAGGAUGAAGCCGUCAUCAUGCUUGAAAAAUUUCACGCUAUUGGUUACAAACCAAUACUUCUACUUGGAAAAACGAAGAAGGAGCAAACAAAGUGCGAAAUUCUCAGCCCUCGCUGCAAGCUUAGCGUCAUUUCCCAAGACUACCUUAAAAGAAUAGGCGUCUUUUUUGAGUUCCUUUGUGAAGGUUGGAGCCAGGAGUCAUUAGAAGGAACGAGUAACCAGGAGUAUGAGAGGGUCACAGUGGGUCAAGUGAACAAGGAGGAUGACGCAGACAUGGAGGAUGUGAGGAGCAGCAGGGAAGCGUGCAUAGAGGAGCUGACGACGCCUGCACAGGUGAAGGAGGAAGAACCCGAGGUGCGGCAGGUGGAGUUGGGGAGCACCGCGGGUCGACAGGUAGAUUUGGGGAGCACCGCUGGUCGACAGAUGGAGUUGGGGAGCACUGCGGGUCGACAGGUGGAGCAGACACACACGCUGAAGCGGCACGUGGAGCAGGCUAAUACAGCAGAGAAACAGGCAGUCUCUGAGGGUUCUCCUAAUGUUCGCCAAAAGAAAAAAAAUUCAGCUAACGUCACGGUAAAGAAGAGAUUGUACGACCAAGUGAUGUUAUCGAUGCGACUGCAAGAGGAAAAGAGCAUUUUGGUUUUGGAGAUGGUACAACAUUGCAUGUGGUUGCAGAAGCAGGCAGAGGAGAUAAAGAAGAAGGUGGCUGAGAACGACCAGGGAAAUGAAGGACUUUGUUGCCUCUUAAGAAGUCAACUUUCCGAGGUGUCGGACCAGUUACAGGUGGUUCUCCAACAGUACAGAACGGCUUUGAGUCCAGGGACGUCUGUGCUUCUACGGAAGGAGGGGGAGGAUCAAAGUGCCUUCAGCAGUUCAGAAAGCAGUGACGAUAAAGAAGAUGUCACAACUUAG